ACUCUUUCUCUUGGACCAUCUUAAGUCAUCAUGAAGAUUUAGUAGAGUAAGAAUAAUUUUGGGCCUUGUAUUUUGGGCCAAGUAGUCUAGAUUUUAUUUGGGCUUUGUAUUAUGGGCCUAGUAGUGUAGGAUUUCAAUUGGGCCUUGUAUUUUGGGCCAAGUAGAAUAGGAUUUUGACCAAACAAGUCAACAAAGGGUCAAGGCCCAAAGUUG
rnacentral:lncRNA from 1 species